rnacentral:snoRNA from 2 species
CUCCUCUCAGGGUGGUACCUGAAGAGUUUCCAGUACUCUACCAGUCUCAACUACGGGAGGGAGAGUCAAGCAGAGGCCUACCCCUUCCAUUCCUAGCUGGGACAGUGGCUAGUGAGUGGAAGGCAGUCUGCUACAAGU